GACGAGCGCUGGCGGCGUGCUUAACACAUGCAAGUCGAACGGAAAGGCCCUGCUUUUGUGGGGUGCUCGAGUGGCGAACGGGUGAGUAACACGCGAGUAACCUGCCCUUGACUUUGGGAUAACUUCAGGAAACUGGGGCUAAUACCGGAUAGGAGCUCCUGCUGCAUGGUGGGGGUUGGAAAGUUUCGGCGGUUGGGGAUGGACUCGCGGCUUAUCAGCUUGUUGGUGGGGUAGUGGCUUACCAAGGCUUUGACGGGUAGCCGGCCUGAGAGGGUGACCGGCCACAUUGGGACUGAGAUACGGCCCAGACUCCUACGGGAGGCAGCAGUGGGGAAUAUUGCACAAUGGGCGGAAGCCUGAUGCAGCAACGCCGCGUGCGGGAUGACGGCCUUCGGGUUGUAAACCGCUUUCGCCUGUGACGAAGCGUGAGUGACGGUAAUGGGUAAAGAAGCACCGGCUAACUACGUG
rnacentral:rRNA from 1 species